UGCAAGUCGAACGAUGAACCACCUUCGGGUGGGGAUUAGUGGCGAACGGGUGAGUAACACGUGGGCAAUCUGCCCUGCACUCUGGGACAAGCCCUGGAAACGGGGUCUAAUACCGGAUACUGACCCUCGCAGGCAUCUGCGAGGUUCGAAAGCUCCGGCGGUGCAGGAUGAGCCCGCGGCCUAUCAGCUAGUUGGUGAGGUAAUGGCUCACCAAGGCGACGACGGGUAGCCGGCCUGAGAGGGCGACCGGCCACACUGGGACUGAGACACGGCCCAGACUCCUACGGGAGGCAGCAGUGGGGAAUAUUGCACAAUGGGCGAAAGCCUGAUGCAGCGACGCCGCGUGAGGGAUGACGGCCUUCGGGUUGUAAACCUCUUUCAGCAGGGAAGAAGCGAAAGUGACGGUACCUGCAGAAGAAGCGCCGGCUAACUACGUGCCAGCAGCCGCGGUAAUACGUAGGGCGCAAGCGUUGUCCGGAAUUAUUGGGCGUAAAGAGCUCGUAGGCGGCUUGUCACGUCGGUUGUGAAAGCCCGGGGCUUAACCCCGGGUCUGCAGUCGAUACGGGCAGGCUAGAGUUCGGUAGGGGAGAUCGGAAUUCCUGGUGUAGCGGUGAAAUGCGCAGAUAUCAGGAGGAACACCGGUGGCGAAGGCGGAUCUCUGGGCCGAUACUGACGCUGAGGAGCGAAAGCGUGGGGAGCGAACAGGAUUAGAUACCCUGGUAGUCCACGCCGUAAACGGUGGGCACUAGGUGUGGGCAACAUUCCACGUUGUCCGUGCCGCAGCUAACGCAUUAAGUGCCCCGCCUGGGGAGUACGGCCGCAAGGCUAAACUCAAAGGAAUUGACGGGGGCCCGCACAAGCGGCGGAGCAUGUGGCUUAAUUCGACGCAACGCGAAGAACCUUACCAAGGCUUGAUCUCAAAGCCGG
rnacentral:rRNA from 1 species